rnacentral:miRNA from 14 species
UGGGUGUGUGUGUGUAUAUAUAAGUAUGUAUACACACACACACACACACACACACACACACACACACACACAUAUAU